rnacentral:lncRNA from 1 species
GGCGACCAAGAAAGGAAGGCGAGAAACGUUGGAGGAUGCUUAUGGAGUUAUGCUUGAUAUUUGCGGAGAUUCCAAACAGGUAAUUUUAUAGUUGCAAUAGUUCUUCUGACUUCUGAUUCUUAUAACCUGAUCGAAGAAUUGAAAUUAUUCAUCAUUGGUUUUACUUUGUUUGGAGAGACUGAUCAUAAUUUCGAAAUGAAAAGCAGGCUUUCUUCGCUGUAGUGGACGGACAUGGCGGUCGGGAUGCCGCCGAUUACGUGGUGGAACAUUUAGGGAAGAACAUCAUAAACGCUCUUGAGAAAAUUGCUGGUGAGGAAGAAAAGGCAAUCGAAUCCGCAAUUCGCAGGGGUCACAAACGCACAGACGAGGAGUUCCUUAGUCAGGUCAGGUAAACAAUUGAUUGAACUUUUUCACAUAAAUUCUAGUGCAACUGAAAAUUGGAUAAAAACAAUUGGCCUACCGUCGAUUCAUUGCAGGGCGUCGGUAGUGGAGCCUGUGCGGCGAGCGUGCUGGUGAAAAACGGCGAGCUUCAUGUGGCAAACGUCGGAGAUUGUCGAGUAGUAUUGAGCAGAAACGGGGUGGCGACGCCAUUAACGAAGCAGCACCGACU